AUGAGCUUAAAAAAACCAACAACAUCUACAAAAGGAUCUUCCUCACAACAAUGUCUCCACAAACUUAGCACGGACCCUAUAAUGUUUGACAAAGCAAAAACGCUACUCAUAAACAAAGCUUUCAGGGAAGGAUCACCACACCAUGUCAAUUUUAACGGGUCCAAUCAAAUAUUACACUUAGAAUUUUCAUCCUCGGACUCAAUAUUCGAGACAACACCUUCAAUAAAGGCACAACACACGCAUGUGACAAAGCCGAAUCAAGCUGAAGAGACGAGAACAUGGAUUUCAACCCAAAGUAUGCCCAUAUUUGUGGUUGAAGCCAAGCUAGAUCCUGCCGAUGUCGAACCCUGGAUACAACCCUUCGGCUCUUGGAAAAGACAUCUGGAGCAGGUCAAGGGCCUCGUUGCCCCGCUUUCGGACACCGCUGCGCUCCCUUCGGUCCCUGUCAAUAUGGUUUAUUUCCCAUGCACUGUAGCAUUGUCCAUAAUUAGUUCUUAUAGAUUUUUUAUGUUUAACACUAACAAUAGUACUCACAUCUUAAUUAUGUACUUUUUAAAAUUUCUACACUUUUAA
rnacentral:rRNA from 1 species